rnacentral:rRNA from 1 species
CCUACGGGAGGCAGCAGUAGGGAAUCUUUCACAAUGGGCGAAAGCCUGAUGGAGCAACGCCGCGUGCAGGAUGAAGGCCUUCGGGUUGUAAACUGCUUUUAUAAGCGAGAAAUAUGAUGGUAACUUAUGAAUAAGGAUCGGCUAACUACGUGCCAGCAGCCGCGGUCAUACGUAGGAUCCGAGCAUUAUCCGGAGUGACUGGGUGUAAAGAGUUGCGUAGGUGGCAUAAUAAGUAGCUAGUGAAAUCUGGUGGCUCAACCAUUCAGACUAUUAGGUAAACUGUUAAGCUCGAGACCGUUAGGGGUAACUGGAAUUUCUAGUGUAGGAGUGAAAUCCGUAGAUAUUAGAAGGAACACCAAUAGCGUAGGCAGGUUGCUGGGACGGUUCUGACACUAAGGCACGAAAGCGUAGGGAGCAAACGGGAUUAGAUACCCGAGUAGUC